AGUGGGUGGAGUUAGAAAGAGAAAGAGACAGACAGGCAGAGAAAGAAGAUGGGGAAUGGGAGAGAUGAGAGAGGCAGAGGCAGAGAGAAGCAUAAAAUCUUUCAUCUCCUAGAAAAACAAAGACGCUCCGGGAAUUCAUUGGCUCAAUUUCUUUAAAAAUGGUCAGGAUUCAUUGAAGUUCAGUGGCGAGACAAAAAUCAAGGCUUCUGGUAAUGGUCUGGAGUAGUGAAAGUGAACCUUUCAGAGAUGGAGUGCCAGAGAGGACCAGUAAUAUAUUCUGGUGAUGUCUUGCCUUCUCCAUGAAUUGGAUUUAAGUGAGGCAGUUACACAAAGUCAUCAGCUUCUUUCUGUCUUCAAGGGUCAUCAAAGUACAGUAGCAAGAUAAAAAUCAAGAAGACUGGUGAUGGCCCAGGAUGCAGUGGAUGAUGUUGGCAUCUUUGUCUGAUCAAGCUCUAAGCCCUCCAAAGCACCUGCUUCAGCUGCCUUCAUGGUCAUUGGGAGAAAUUGCUUUCAUCUACCCAUUCUGCCAUUGAAGUGCUUUACUUCCCAAAGUAACUGAUGAGUUUUAGGCCUUUUGGUUUCCUUCAGCCUGGUUUAGGAUGUCUGCUAGAAGGUUUUGCUGGGAUUUAGAAACUUAUACACUUUAAUAACUCCUUGUUUAUUUGUUGAUUAAUUAAUUAACAGAAUUAUGUGCUCCAUUGGAAGUCAGAAUAUAUUAAAAGUACCAGUAGAAGUCCCACAGAAUGUUCAGUAGACCCCAUGUGGAGGAUUUGUAGAAAUUUAAAUAAGAGUAGCAGAAGAUAAGAGCAUGGAUGGGUUGCAAUUCUUUUUAUUGUUUGAGGGAUUACUCAUACUAAUCAGAUCACAAUCUAUCAAAGUGUCAAGGAAGUAUUUUGUCAAAGGUUUUUUCAGUGUCAACUGAUAUAAUCAUGUGACUUGUUUUUUGUUUGUUUGUAGGAUUAAUCAUACCAAAUGAUCCCCUGCAGUUGUAUCAUUGAUUUAAAUCCAGCACAGUGCUAAUAAAUACUUUUUGAAAUAUGCUGCUAUAUUUUUCUUAUGCUAAAAUGUUUAAUAUGUUUGCAUCAAUAUUUCUUUUAUCCUUUCCUGCUUAGGACCAUAAUUGUACCUCCACCACAAAUGAAGAUUUAAAUAUAUAUAUAUAUAUUUAAUAAAUAUA